rnacentral:rRNA from 1 species
AAAACACUUUCAGCAAGGGAAAAAAUUAAUAUAAAUAAUACUUAUAUUAACUGAUAUUACCUGCAAAAGAAGUACCGGCUAACUCCGUGCCAGCAGCCGCGGUAAUACGGAGGGUACAAGCGUUAAUCGGAAUUAUUGGGCGUAAAGAGUACGUAGGUGGUAUAUUAAGUCAGAUGUGAAAUACUUAAGCUUACACUUACAGAACUGCAUUUGAAACUAAUAAACUAGAGUUUUAUAGAGGGGAGUAGAAUUCCAAGUGUAGCGGUGAAAUGCGUACGAUAUUUGGAGGAAUACCAGAGGCGAAGGCGACUCCCUGGGUAAUAACUGACACUGAGGUACGAAAGCUUGGGGAGCAAACAGGAUUAGAUACCCUGGUAGUCCAUGCUGUAAACGAUGUCAAUUUGAAGAUUGUAAUAUUAUUAUUUUUUAUAAUUUUCGUAGCUAACGCAUUAAAUUGACCGCCUGGGGAUUACGACCGCAAGGUUAAAACUCAGAUGAAUUGACGGGGACCCGCAACAAGCGGUGGAGCAUGUGG